GUAAUAAUUCGGCCUCCCGUUGAAGCUUUCUGUUUGCCUCAUGGAUGCGAACCAUGUGAACUCAACAACCUGGAGCAAGCUGGUGGCGGUGUGUAUGACAACGGUCAAUCUUGGCUAGUGGAGCCACAAACUCUGCGGCCGUCAGCGGUCUCUUGGCCUGCUGCAGGGUGCGGCGCUUGGUGACGAUGCUCUGGAUCACCUGGACCAUGUGACCUGGUGUGUAGCCAUCAGAAAUCUUCGCAAGAGAGCCGAGGUCCAGCGCCCUGGUCACAUCCCCGCCCUGCUUCCUGAUCAGUCGGUUCCACAGGACUGAAGGCAAAUGGAUUCAAAGUUACCUUGAACACCAUGUGGAGCAUCAUGGCGAGGCCACUCUUGCCCGGGUACUUCCCUGCCGUGUUCAGAGGGGACAGAUCGAACAGGUUGGCUCCCGUCUCCUGGCAGAUUGCAUGGAUCAACAUCUUCUUACCCACUCCUGCGGGCCCUGCCAGUAGGAUGGCCUUUAUCAGUGGAGCCUUCUCAUGAACAUACUGAGAGCCUGCAACAACACACACCUUAUAAUCAAACCAGAGACAAACAUCAUAUUCAUUUAAUGUUGAAUUGAAUACAGCUUCAUACCUAAUGGUAAAACAGCAUAUAGAGAUAAGACCUGCCGCACAUCUGACAGUGAUGGCAUGGGCUCGAUGUCAUUUUGCCUGAGUGUAGUCCCAAGGUAGCUGUAAUCACCUAGGUGACACAAUGGAUCGACUGUUAAAGAGUUAUUAAACACUGCAAGUAAGGCAUUCAAAUACAUUUUCUUUCAUUGUGAUCAUAGUGUUGUGGCAAGCCGAAACCAGAAGAGGGUGGCACAUCAACACUAAAUUAUUUCUAGUGACGUUUACAGUUUCAAAGAGUAAGCGCUGUACUUUGUUUCGUUGAUUGCAAUCGAAUUUAUAGCUCACGUACAUUUAUGAUGAUAAGUCUAACACAAAGAGAGAUCUCAAUAACCAGUUUAAUAAACAAUAAACAAAGACUUACCCAUGUAA